rnacentral:tRNA from 1 species
CGGGGCGUAGGUCAUCGGUAGACCGCUCGGAUGGGGUCCGAGAAGCAGGAGGUUCAAUUCCUCUCGCCCCGACAA